CUUUUCCACUUGCUCACUGAUGCAUCUAACUGUAUUUUCGAGGUCUGCUAAAUAUACAGCCAGCCAUAAGCUUCAGCAAUCAAACCACAGAACCCAAACAAAAGAAAACUCAUUCCUCAUUUCCCUGUUUCACCCUCUACCAGACACAAACAACAUCUACAACACUUCCCCAAUUUAAACAUGCAUGAUUUUCCUGCCAGCCUCUGCAAAAUAAAACCAGCAUCCUCUCUGGCAAAUGCCAGACAAGCUGUGAUGCAGCCCUACAUAUUUUGCCCCAGAGGCAAGCCCUUGUUCCCUCGGUUAACUAAAGAGCUGUUGCUAAUAUCUUUUCUGACUGUGUUUUAGCACUGUGCUCUGGAUUCAGUGCCAACAGGAAGGCAGAGCUAAUCCUGAUGGGUCCUGCACAGUUCGCACCCACAGCCUCUUUUACCACUGCUGGAGAGCUCUUGUAUCACUUAUCAUCGCCUGACUUCAAAAGAAUUUCAAAAGAAUAAACUCACCUCAUCCUUUGAUUGCCAUAGGGAGAGUAAUAGAAGAGAGCAUCCUCCUGUUCAUCUGCAUACCAUCAGGAAGGCUCAUCUCCAUACCAUUAUAGGAAGGUGCUCAAGCUGAGCAGGUAAGUACUGGUGUGCUUAGUGGGAUCAGCUGGCCAGACUUACCUACAGCCCCACACCAUGGACUGGGAAAAGUGCCCAUUCACUAAUGAGUGCUCAGGCAUAGCAAUUAGAUUGUAAACACUUUGGAUUAGCACCAUCUGCACCGUGCUCAUACACUACCUGCUACAAGAGGCCCUCAGUCCAUGCUGCUGAUAAGCUUCACAACACAAACACCCGGAGCAAGGAGAUCAUGCUUUUUCUCAUCUCUGCGUGUCUUUUUGGAGAAAGUGGAGGAAAUGAUCAUUUUCAAAAGAACAUCAUGUUACAGCAGCUCUUAGUGUAGCUCAGUUCUGAACUCGGUAAAGCUUUCCAGCUGAGAAGCAGAGAAGAGGCAUAUGCAGAUUUUUGGACUGGAAGGGAGAAGAUGGACUUGAGACAAAUCUCCGGAAGACUUAAGUACAUUUCCAGGCAAAGACAAAUGAUUCAUCACACUUCUAAAAAUGGUUGUAGGCAUAAAUGCAAAAGCUGUAGCACAACACAAGUGAUCAGAUUAAGAGGGACCAGAAAGACAUCUGUUCUGCAGAUCAGGGAGAGCAAAGGAGUUCUGGUGCUGUAUCUUCAGGGGACAGGUUGACACCUUCCACACAAUCACCAAAUCAGAAUUUACAGCUCAAAACAUUCAGGACAGGGCAACCGGGAAAGUGGUCCUGAAAAGCACUGCGGCUCAAUCCAGAACCAGGGCAGCAGCUCAUUCACUUUGCUCCCGGGAGCCUUCUGGUCAUUGCACCUUGUAGCCUAGCAGCUCAGGAUAAGAAAUGCUACAGAGAUUUUAAAAAGUUCCUGGGAUAAAAUUCAUCUACUUGAUUUUGUAUUUGUAAGAUGUCUGGUGUUUUGCAUUUGCCAGGGAAAAAUGCCAGAUUUUGGUGCCAAAAUUUAUUUGAGCAUUCAAUCUACUACUAAUGAAACAUCAGGUUUGAGGCAGAACAGUAAUACAAGACUCUGAACAUGGUGUUGUGAUGUAUCCAGGGAUAUACAUUAUAAGAUGAACUAGGUUACACAGAUGUGAUGCAAAUGCCACCAAGCAUUGCACUGCUCUAUAGAGAAACUGAGUAAGAAUUUAAUAAAUCCAGCUUUGCUUUAGUAAUCCAGCAUAAAUUAAUAAAAAUAUGCACUGAUUGUAGGUGUUACAUCUAACCAUGCUGUAGGAUCAGUUAUAUGUAGAGGUACUGACUGCUCUAGAGACCCAGAUGGAGUCCAGAAGAGCGCUCAAAGAUGAUGGGCAAAACCCACAUGCAUUGAGACAUGAAUGUAGGCUCUGGGCAACAACACAGCAAGUUUUGUAAACAGGUUCACCUGAACAGGAAUGGAACAGUGCAUCUUCCAGGGGGAGGAAACUUGUUAGGCUGUGUCCUAUUCCCCCCCAGAGCACAGUUAAUUCUGCACUGCACAGCUUGUUGGACCUGGCUGGUGUCUCCAAGGACACUGCUCCUGAAGCCCACAGCAGAGGCCUGUGUAAUUCUUAUCAAAAGUUGCCAAAUAUUUUCAAGAAUAUUGAUCUCAUCUCUCAGUAACAGGAAAGGAGAUACCAAAAUUAAAAUUAAAGCACUAGGAGCUCACUCUAGCUUCUAAUGUUGGUUGCUAGUGUGCUCCAGGAGAGCUAGCAGACACAUAUAACUGUGAGAACAAUUUGUGGAGCAUCUGGCUUCAAAUUAGGAGGAAAUAUUAGGGGCCUGAGGAACCCCAUUAUUUUUAUGACAUCAAAUGGUUCAUUAGUUUUAAGUAGAAACAGGUGGUUAAUGAGAAGCUGUCAUUAAACUGGGCCGUGUUUGCUUGUUGCAGGAUGCAUGAAGGACACCUGACCCAGAGAUCAUGUCCUAGGUUCCCUCUUUGCACACAUCCACCAACCCUUCCACUCAGUCUGAAAUAGCAAUGACAGAAUUGAGAGGGGCUAUUUCCUCUCUAUGUGUGUAAUAAAAGUACAUUUUGUGUGAGUAAAAUGUGAAAAUCUGCUGUCUGAUAGACUCACCCCGGCCAGAAACCACAAUGAGUCCCCUCCAUAUGUUGUGGCACAAGCAGACUGCAUACAGCUCUCAGCUUGCUGUGAGCGCCUUGCUGGAGCCUGCGACAGUAAAGCUGCGCCGUAUCCAGCUAAGAUUUCUUUCCAGGACUGAUCCAUAUUUUGGAACAUGGAGUCUCCCAGGCAGCUGGAUAUAGGUGGUCGGGCAGAUUUUGGUUACCCAAGCAACUCACCUGUUAUGAUUCCUAAACAACCAAGAUGUUGGAAGGCUGGGGGCUCUCGAGGGAAAUGGCUAUGGAAAAUACAAACAGUUUUCCAGCCAUGCAGACAUACUAUGGGUGAAACUUGCCUCUGGCAUGACCUGCUUUUAGACUUCCAGAAGUAUGUGAACAUCGCUGACCCAGCAGCCAGCAUGGAGAUGGAGGUGCCCUUGGUGGGCAUGUGUCACGGCGAUGCUUCAGCAGCUCAUGUGUGAUCCUGUGUCGCUGCUGAGUCCCAGCAAGCCUUGUUGUACAGCCCUAUGAACCAGCACGACCUUCAUCCUGACCUCCUCUGCUCUACAUAACACUGACCCGUCAGAGCAGUUUAGCAUCAAACGAAUAAACCAGACCUGAGUUACAAGGACUACCUCGCCUUUACAUUUCAUCAGUUGCAGCUGAAACAGAGUUAGAGCCCCAGGCAGCCCACAGUGGCUCUCCAGGAGCCACACAGCAUUUCAUCAGUCCCAGCAGUGUCUCACAGCAAUAUUCUCCUGGCUAGAUCUGCUGCUCCUUCUCCCAGCCAGUGGCUGGGCACUGCGAUUCAGGGCAGCUUCCUCAGGGAAUUCAUUAAAAAUCCCAAAACACACAAACAGAUUUUGAUUUCUCUUAAAUAAAUGUUUUUUCCAGUUUAUUUUCUACCAUAAGCUGAACACUCUGGACAAAUUCAGUAAUAACACAAUGUAAGAUCAUGUAAUAAGAAGGGGAAGAAAUUAGAAAACAAGCAUCACUGGUAAAAUAACUAAAGAAU